UGAAGUUAAGUUGCUAUUAGCUUAAACUUGAUAGAACUGUAAGAUGUAUUAUGAAAGCCUCAUGGUAAUCACAAAGCAAAAGCUAUAAUAGAUACACAUAUAAUAAAGAGAAAAGAAUCAAAGCAUCCCACUAUGGAAAAUCAUCAAUUGACAACUAAAGACAGCAAGAGAGGCAGCUUUUUAGUUUGAUGUAUCCUCACUAUUUAUUUUAGCUUUUGUUGCCUGUGUUUUUGGUGUCAUCCAAAAAAACAAAAAAUCAUCACCAAGACAAAUGUUACAGAGCUUUUUCACCAUGUUGUCUUCUAGGAGUUUUAUGGUAUCAGGUAUUACAUUUAAGUCUUUAAUCCAUUCAACUUCAUUUUUGUGAGUGGAAUAAGAUAGGAGUCUGAUUUCAUUUUUUGCAUAUGUAUAUAAGGUUAUCUCAACAACAUUUAUUGCAGAGACUCUUCUUUCCCUUUGGCAUCCUUGUCAAAGGUUAGUUGACAGGAUGUGCAUGGUCUUAUUUCUGGGCUCUUUGUUCUGUUCCAUUGGUCUAUGUACCUGUUUUUAUGCCAGUACCAUACUGUUUUGUGUGUAGGUUUGUAAUAUAUUUUGAAAUCAGGAAGUAUGAUGCCUCCAGCUUUGUUCUUCUUUCUUAAGUUUGCUUUGGCUGUUCAGGGUCUUUUGGUGUUCCAUACAAAUUUUAGAACUGUUUUUUUAUUUCUAUGAAAGAUGCCAUUGGAAUUUUGAUAUGAACUGUGCUGAAUCUGUGGAUCACUUUGGGUAUUGUGGAAAUUUUAACAAUAUUAAUUCUUUCAAUUCAAGAGCACAGGGUAUCUUUCCAUUUGUUUUUGCCUUCAAUUUCUUUCAUCAGUGACAUAAUUUUCAGUGUACAGGUCUUUCCUCUCCUUGGUUAAAUUUAUCCUUCAGUAUUUUAUUGUUUUUAGUGCUAUUGUAAAUGAGAUUGCUUUCUUAAAUUAUCUUUCAGGUAGUUCAUUAGUUUAUAGAAAUGCAAGUGAUCUUUUUUUUAAAAUAACUGUUGGUACUUAAUGAGAAUUUUUUUCCUGGGAAAGAU
rnacentral:lncRNA from 1 species